rnacentral:rRNA from 1 species
GACGAACGCUGGCGGCGUGCCUAAUACAUGCAAGUAGAACGCUGAAGAGAGGAGCUUGCUCUUCUUGGAUGAGUUGCGAACGGGUGAGUAACGCGUAGGUAACCUGCCUUGUAGCGGGGGAUAACUAUUGGAAACGAUAGCUAAUACCGCAUAACAAUGGAUGACACAUGUCAUUUAUUUGAAAGGGGCAAUUGCUCCACUACAAGAUGGACCUGCGUUGUAUUAGCUAGUAGGUGAGGUAAUGGCUCACCUAGGCGACGAUACAUAGCCGACCUGAGAGGGUGAUCGGCCACACUGGGACUGAGACACGGCCCAGACGCCUACGGGAGGCAGCAGUAGGGAAGCUUCGGCAAUGGGGGCAACCCUGACCGAGCAACGCCGCGUGAGUGAAGAAGGUUUUCGGAUCGUAAAGCUCUGUUGUAAGUCAAGAACGGGUGUGAGAGUGGAAAGUUCACACUGUGACGGUAGCUUACCAGAAAGGGACGGCUAACUACGUG